UGGGUCAUUACCUGCAGCAAGAAAACCGGAGAAAUGAAAAGUGUAUAACAACAAUCCGCAAGAAUCUUAUCAGGGAACAGAUUGUUCGAAAUGCUGUUGAGGGACCGACAUUGAGAAACAUUUCUGGAUGGCAUGAAGGUUGACGUGGCUGCGGUCCAAAAUCAUCGUGCCUGAGACCACACAGAUGGGGAUGAGAUAAAACUUCUUGUUGCGAUCGACGACAUUUACAGAGAAGAAAGACAUGGAGAAGAAACCACGACCAAACUUCAUCAGUUCUCGCGUGUAUCGCCGACGCGCCGGCUCCUAGACAGCAAAACGCAAUCCGAAGACGAAGCUUCAAAAUGGAGGGAUGGGAAUCGGCAGAGGACGAGUGCAGAGAAAACAAAGAAACGGAGGAAGAAGGGAAGAAAAAAGGCAGAGAGAAGAAGGUGUGGAAGUGUGUUGCUGGGCAGAGGGCUGGCGCCGAACGCGGGGUUGGCAGGCGGGGUGGAGAAGCGGGCACGCUCACAGACAUCUGUUGGCACGCUGCGGAUGCUGGAGGGGGCACGGUGCCAUGACCAGCGGGAACAUGGCACACUGAUAAUGCUGUAGCUAUACUCAGAUACACACUGCGUCUCUAUAAAACACCACACACACCAGCACUAAUGAUAAAAUAAUCUCACACUAUCGACACGAGCGACGCAGGACACACAUGUUGCGGAUCAAAAUAUCAUAAUUGGCAGCUUUCAGUUUUUAGUCCGGGGCAAAAUACUUUUCUUAUGAAAACCUAAGGCAAAUGAUCCUGCAGAAUACAACGCUCCUAAAAAUAAAGGUUCUUUACUGGCAUUGAAACAUCUGCAUAAAAUUUUAAGUUGUUUGAAAUUAUUUAAAUGUUUGGUAACCCUUUACAAUAAGGAUCAUUACUUAAAACACUGGUUAACACCGUAAUAAGCAUUAGCUAGGAAUGGACAAUACUUGUAAAGAAAAUAUUAAUCUUGCUGCAUUUUAAUUUCUGCAUUUGUUUUAAUGCAUUGUCAAAAUAAAAUAAUGCAAGUUGUGUCUGUUAACAUUAGUUGAUAC